UGGGGAAUAUUGGACAAUGGGCGCAAGCCUGAUCCAGCCAUGCCGCGUGAGUGAUGAAGGCCCUAGGGUUGUAAAGCUCUUUCACCGGUGAAGAUAAUGACGGUAACCGGAGAAGAAGCCCCGGCUAACUUCGUGCCAGCAGCCGCGGUAAUACGAAGGGGGCUAGCGUUGUUCGGAUUUACUGGGCGUAAAGCGCACGUAGGCGGACUUUUAAGUCAGGGGUGAAAUCCCGGGGCUCAACCCCGGAACUGCCUUUGAUACUGGAAGUCUUGAGUAUGGUAGAGGUGAGUGGAAUUCCGAGUGUAGAGGUGAAAUUCGUAGAUAUUCGGAGGAACACCAGUGGCGAAGGCGGCUCACUGGACCAUUACUGACGCUGAGGUGCGAAAGCGGGGGGAGCAAACAGG
rnacentral:rRNA from 1 species